GACGAACGCUGGCGGCGUGCCUAAUACAUGCAAGUUGAGCGCUGAAGGUUGGUCCUUGUACCAACUGGAUGAGCAGCGAACGGGUGAGUAACGCGUGGGGAAUCUGCCUUUGAGCGGGGGACAACAUUUGGAAACGAAUGCUAAUACCGCAUAACAACUUUAAACACAAGUUUUAAGCUUGAAAGAUGCAAUUGCAUCACUCAAAGAUGAUCCCGCGUUGUAUUAGCUAGUUGGUGAGGUAAAGGCUCACCAAGGCGAGGAUACAUAGCCGACCUGAGAGGGUGAUCGGCCACAUUGGGACUGAGACACGGCCCAAACUCCUACGGGAGGCAGCAGUAGGGAAUCUUCGGCAAUGGACGAAAGUCUGACCGAGCAACGCCGCGUGAGUGAAGAAGGUUUUCGGAUCGUAAAACUCUGUUGGUAGAGAAGAACGUUGGUGAGAGUGGAAAGCUCAUCAAGUGACGGUAACUACCCAGAAAGGGACGGCUAACUACGUG
rnacentral:rRNA from 1 species